rnacentral:tRNA from 1 species
GCCGAAGUGGUGGAAUUGGCAGACACGCUAUCUUGAGGGGGUAGUGUCCGAGAGGACGUGUGGGUUCGACUCCCACCUUCGGCA